UACGUAGGGUGCGAGCGUUAAUCGGAUUUACUGGGCGUAAAGGGCACGCAGGCGGUCUUGCCAGUCAGGGGUGAAAGCCCGGGGCUCAACCCCGGAAGUGCAUUGGAAACUGCUCUGCUUGAGUACCGGAGAGGAAGGGGGAAUUCCCGGUGUAGCGGUGAAAUGCGUAGAUAUCGGGAGGAAUACCAGUGGCGAAGGCGCCCUUCUGGACGGUUACUGACGCUGAGACGCGAAAGCGUGGGGAGCAAACAGG
rnacentral:rRNA from 1 species